CCCUUAGAUGUUCUGGGCCGCACGCGUGCUACACUGAGUGGAUCAGCGGGUCAGGUUGCGCGAAAGUGUUUCCUAAUCUUUAAAUCCGCUCGUGAUGGGGAUUGACGGUUGCAAUUUUCCGUCAUGAACGAGGAAUACCUUGUAAGCGCGAGUCAUCAUCCCGCGCUGAAUACGUCCCUGCCCUUUGUACACACCGCCCGUCGCUCCUACCGAUUGAGUGGUCCGGUGAGGCUUUGGGAUCUGAGCGGAAAGAGCGUUUCGCUGUUUCUGCCCGGAAAACUCAGUCGAACCUUAUCAUUUAGAGGAAGGAGAAGUCGUAACA
rnacentral:rRNA from 1 species